rnacentral:rRNA from 1 species
GACAGAGGAUGCAAGCGUUAUCCGGAAUGAUUGGGCGUAAAGCGUCUGUAGGUGGCUUUUUAAGUCUGCCGUCAAAUCCCAGGGCUUAACCCUGUACAGGCGGUGGAAACUACCAAGCUGGAGUACGGUAGGGGCAGAGGGAAUUUCCGGUGGAGCGGUGAAAUGCGUAGAGAUCGGAAAGAACACCAACGGCGAAAACACUCUGCUGGGCCGACACUGACACUGAGAGACGAAAGCUAGGGGAGCGAAUGGG